rnacentral:rRNA from 1 species
AUUGAACGCUGGCGGCAGGCCUAACACAUGCAAGUCGAGCGCGCGGCGGACGGGUGAGUAAUGUCUGGGAAACUGCCUGAUGGAGGGGGAUAACUACUGGAAACGGUAGCUAAUACCGCAUACCAUCAGAUGUGCCCAGAUGGGAUUAGCUAGUAGGUGGGGUAACGGCUCCCCUAGGCGACUAUACCUAGAUGGGCUGAGAGGAUGACCAGACACACUGGAACUGAGCGACGGUCCAGACCCCGACGAGAGGAAGCAGUGGGGCAUAUUGUCCAAUGGGCGCAAGCCUGAUGCAGCCAGGCGGCGUGUGUGAAGAAGGCCUUCGGUUUGUAAAGCACUUUCAGCGGAGAGGCGUUACCUGCAGAAGAAGAACCGGCUAACUCCGUGCCAGCCGCCGCGGUAAUAC